rnacentral:rRNA from 1 species
GGCGCACGGGUGAGUAACACGUGGGUAAUCUGCCCUCGAGUUUGGGAUAACCCCGCGAAAGCGGGGCUAAUACCGAAUAAGACCACGGGGACCAAAGUCCCUGAGGUAAAAGACGGCCUCUAUUUAUAAGCUGUCACUUGAGGAUGAGCCCGCGGCCCAUUAGCUAGUUGGUAGGGUAACGGCCUACCAAGGCGAUGAUGGGUAGCUGGUCUGAGAGGACGAUCAGCCACACUGGAACUGAGACACGGUCCAGACUCCUACGGGAGGCAGCAGUGGGGAAUAUUGCGCAAUGGGCGAAAGCCUGACGCAGCAACGCCGCGUGGGGGAUGAAGGUUCUCGGAUUGUAAACCCCUUUCGACCGGAACGAAUCUCCUCCUGGUAAAUAAUCAGGAGGAUCGACGGUACCGGGAGAAGAAGCCACGGCUAACUCUGUGCCAGCAGCCGCGGUAAGACAGAGGUGGCGAGCGUUGUUCGGAUUUAUUGGGCGUAAAGCGAACGCA